rnacentral:rRNA from 1 species
AUAACGGUCCUAAGGUAGCGAAAUUCCUUGUCAGGUAAGUUCUGACCCGCACGAAUGGCGUAACGAUUUGGGCGCUGUCUCAACAGCCCACCCGGCGAAAUUGUAGUACUGGUGAAGAUGCCAGUUACCCGCAACUAGACGGAAAGACCCCAUGGAGCUUUACUGUAGCUUAAUACUGGAAAUCGGUAAAUCAUGUACAGGAUAGGUGGGAGACUUGGAAGCCAGGGCGUCAGCUUUGGUGGAGUCACCCUUGGGAUACCACCCUUGAUUUGCUGGUUUUCUAACCUGCGGCCGUGAAUCCGGUCGGGGGACACUGUUAGGUGGGCAGUUUGACUGGGGCGGUCGCCUCCCAAAAGGUAACGGAGGCGCUCAAAGGUUCGUUCAGCACGGACGGAAACCGUGCAGUGAGUGUAAACGCAUAAACGAGCCUAACUGCGAGACCGACGGGUCGAGCAGUAACGAAAGUUGGAGUUAGUGAUCCGGCGGUAUGCAAGUGGAAGUGCCGUCGCUCAACGGAUAAAAGCUACCCUGGGGAUAACAGGCUGAUCUCCCCCAAGCGUCCACAGCGACGGGGAGGUUUGGCACCUCGAUGUCGGCUCGUCACAUCCUGGGGCUGAAUUCGGUCCCAAGGGUUCGGCUGUUCGCCGAUUAAAGUGGCACGCGAGCUGGGUUCAGAACGUCGUGAGACAGUUCGGUCCCUAUCUGUUGCGGGCGUAAGAGAUUUGAAGGGAGCUGUCCUUAGUACGAGAGGACCGGGAUGGACGUACCUCUGGUGCACCAGUUGUCCUGCCAAGGGCACAGCUGGGUAGCUACGUCUGGACGAGAUAAACGCUGAAAGCAUCUAAGCGUGAAACUCCCCCUAAGAUAAGAUCUCUCAUCCGAAAGGAGUAAGGCUCGACGUAGACUAUGUCGUAGAUAGGUCGGAGGUGGAAGCACGGUAACGUGUGCAGCUGACCGAUACUAAUAAGCCGAGGGCUUGACCUA